rnacentral:misc_RNA from 1 species
AAGUCGUAACAAGGUUUCCGUAGGUGAACCUGCGGAAGGAUCAUUAUUGAAUUGUCUACUCGAUGGGUUGUCGCUGGCUCUUUGGAGCAUGUGCACGCCUGUCUUGACUUCAUUCAUCCACCUGUGCACCAUUUGUAGUCUUUGUGGGGUUGAGAAGUGGCCGACUUGUCAGGAAAACAGUGUUGACUCUUUUCCUGGAUGUGAGGACUGCAGUGCGGAAGCAUGGCUUUCUUCUACUGGUCAUGAACCAUCCCUCAAAGUCUAUGUUCUAAUCAUAUACCAUAAAGUAUGUUGUAGAAUGUCUCAUGUGGGCCUUUGUUGCCUAUAAAAAUUGUAUACAACUUUCAGCAACGGAUCUCUUGGCUCUC